GGGGCUCCAUUGUGUGCUGGGAGUUCUGCCCCCGGGAAGAACUUUUCAAAAGCACUUCCUUAGGGCAAGUUGGAACUUGCUUCCCCAGAACUACCACCUCCUGGCCCACUGCUGACAUUACAGAGGCACUCAGAGAAAAGAUUGUGGCCCUUUCCCGCUGAAGAAUUUUGGGGAAACCCAGACAGCUCCCAUAUUUGAUCUCAUAUCCAGUUCCUUUCUGGAGGACUGUGUCUGCAGUGCAGUGGAGAGCUGUGGCCACCUGGACCCUGAGACUGGCCGUCAUCUCUGUCUGUUGUCAGCAGCACCUUGAAGACCUGAUUCCUUCCACAGCUCAGAAUAGGCAGGACUAAGAUAGGAACCUAGAGCUGUCAGCCUCCCACCACCGUCUUCUGAACUGCGGGGCGAUACUGCCCUUGGACAGCUCGGUUCUACCUUACACACCAGCUUAUCCACCUGGGUGGAGGGAGGGGUGAAAAUGACAUGGUGGCAAAAAAGGGAUGACCAAUUCCUUUUUAUCCCAUCAGAGUAGGCCGAUGUGACCUAACUGAGAUGGCAGAGAAACGUGUAAAAUAUUUCAGAAACAUUUCCAUUAGAAUGCUUAAAAUAACUUAUUUAUUAUUCCAUGGUGAUGCACUCUAAAUGAAGUUCUUUUGUAGGCAAUGGGAGCAAGGCUGACAUGGCUUUAAAUUCUGGCUCUGCUUUUACUAGGUUUGUAAACCUGAGCAAAUAAGCCAACCUCUCUGAACCGCCGUCUGUUAUCUAUAGGGUGGGCUUCAUAACACAACUCACAGUGCUGUUGAAGGCGUUGAAUGGUAAACUGCGUUCAGGGCAUAAAGCACCAGGCGAUGCAUCUGGCACGUAAGGAGAAAGGAAAUCAAAUUUAUAAGAUAAAAAUUAAAGGAUGUAGCAAUCUGGAGAAGACAUUCCAAGACAUGGAUAUGCAACAAAAAUAUAUUUUUAUACCCUUUGAGCAAGAGAAUACGGCAAGCGUGGGGGCUGGGGUUGGAACAGCAGGUGACAUGCUACUCCCUUCACUAUAGAUUCAUCAAGGAG
rnacentral:lncRNA from 1 species